ensembl:lncRNA LOC120098113 uncharacterized LOC120098113
CAACACCAGGCUCGCUUCUUCAGCUCAUAUAAGGUAAAAGGCAGCGAGGCCUCGGUGGCCAGAGAGCCACGGGCAAGGGGCUGAGCAGAGGGGGGUCCAGUGCAAGUUGCUUAAAAAUGCCCCUGUAGCAUCAAGGGGUGCCAGACCCAAGUGAACUUAGUUGAGAAGCAGUAACACCCACAACCACACCCCAAACAGACUGGGCCUCCACCUCCGAAGAGUCAUCCCUGGACCAGACACCAGUCAAGGUAAGGACUAGCCACAGACACAGGUCCCUGCGCCGGUCUCUGGGGCUUCCUUCCAGGGGCUUUCGUUCCUGCUGUCUAACUGCUCUGUUGCCUUCUGCCUCUCUAGAUCUGAGUUUCCCCAUCUGUACCUAGGCUGCAUCUGGUGAUCUUUAAGCAUUAGACCCAACCCUGAGCAGCUCUAGUCCUAUGGGCUGCUUCUGUUGAAUGAGGAGUUGGGGGCUGAGCUGAUGGCAGGCCAAGCUCCCACCAUGCCACAUCUGGGCAGUUUGCCCUGUCUCUACCGUAUAUCAGGUGUUCAUAGCUCCAAGGAUCUGGGGCCCCGGUUGAGGAAAACUGUUUCCAAAUAAUGGAUCCAGUAAGCCAAACUUGAGGAAGCAGUUGAAUAGCUCAAACACCCAGGGAGUAGGAAACACAGGGUUAAAAGGAUAUGUGUAGAAGGGAGAGGGGAGGGGCUGAGCUCAGACCCCAGAUCUGUACUCAGUGCUGGAUUAUGUGGCUCUGGGCAGGUACCCAUCCCUCUCUGAGCCAGCUUGCCGAUCUAGGUGUAAAAUGGUCUGGAAACAUAGGGUGUGGUUUCUGAACCAUUUGGGGGAAGCCCUCUCAGGAGAUUCCUGGGCUACAGCCAUCUUUGAUCAUAGACUCUGAGUCCAAGCACCUGGUCAGAGCCCUGGGAGCUGUUGAGGCUGAGCUUAAGGUGACAGAGAACACUCCCAGGGCAUCUAGCUGAAGGGAUCUCUCUCCCCAGGGUGCUGCACUGCCUCUGGUGGGCACAGGGAUGGUGUCUGAUGCAAUAAGCCGUGAGUGCAGGACUCCAGGGCAGGAAUGGGGUGAAGGGCCUUGGGAGGAAGUCCUGUGCUGUGUAGGGGCCGGACACAGCUCUGACUGGAACACAGGCGGCAUCCAACACCUUGGACCCAGAAUGGAACACAGUUCUCCAGUUCCAGACUGGGCCACAUCUAUUCCUUCUUAUACCUGGUCACCCAGGGCUUUAUGGUUUAGAAGGAAGCACUGAGCUUCCCUCCCCCUGAGAGGGUCCAACUCUGGCUUGUUUACAUAUUAAAGCGGUUGACCCUGUCAUCUGCCACCUCAGAUUAGGCUUCUUAAUCUUAGGGGCAGCCUAAGUUCUGACAAACCUAUUUUUUUUUUUUUUGGUUCUUUUUUUUUUUCGGAGCUGGGGACCGAACCCAGGGCCUUGCGCUUCCUAGGUAAGCGCUCUACCACUGAGCUAAAUCCCCAGCCCCUGACAAACCUAUUUUUAUGGCGAGGAAAUGAGACAGAGGGGAGAAAUACUCAGAGUGCCCUAGGAAGAGGAAGGUAGAACAAAUCCCAGCCAGAGGAAAGGGGCAGAGAGACUAAGACAAUUCCCUUUGCACUCAUCCUCUGCUCGGAGCUAGGAAUCAGCCGUGCAAGUCCCCAGAGCCGUAGAGCAAUCGGGACACAGUUAGGCAACCGUAAGGCCAGGUGGAAGUGGAGCUCUAGCUGACAACAGAGCUAGGGCAGAGUGUGUCGGCCUAGUCAGGGGGUUCCUCAGGUAUCGUGAGUAACAAACAUAUUGCUUUCAUUUGUGACUUGGAUCCAGGAACCUGAGACUUUUAGAUUUACUGAAGCCUUGCAGGACUGCGGGAGCUGGGUCCACUUCUUCCCUUUUUACAGAGAGGCCAGACACUGUAUAUGUGUGCUGGCUGUCCCAGGGUGCUGUCUCCACCAAGACUUUCUACCUUCCUGCUCUGCUACAGUCACCAUGGUCUUCCUAGGAAGUAUCCAAAGAAUCUCAGACAGAAUUUGUAUGGAGAUAAAAUAUGUAUGGGACCUUCCCCCGGAGCCAGACACUAGCUACACAGUUUCUAUUGUCUUCCUUAUUCUCAGGAACUAAUGCCAACACCCCUGGUUACAGAGGCGGAACCCACAGCCCACCCAAGGGCUUACCACUAGAAACUAGCAGAAGGUGUCAACCCAGGCUCCACCUUCGUGCUCUCAGCUGCCUUCCCAGGGGUGAGCUGUAGAGCCAUGAUGUGAAAGUUGAACCUGCAGGGGAGGCUCUAGUCCCAGGGUUUGUACUGGGACUUGAUGAGCGGCCCCUGACUCUAAGGCCAACUCUCAGCCAUGUCACUGUCCCAGAACAGAGGAGACUCACUGGUCCCCCAGCCACACUAUAGCUCUGUGGCCAGCCUUGGCCCUUUCUCCUUCCUGGCUAGUUCUAGAGAAAAGUGAAUACAGACAGCUCUGCUGAGAAGAAAAGUUCCAGACUCCACAAAUGGAGCCAGCAUUGAGUGUCUCCUCAGGUGAGACAACGCCCUAGAGUAGGUCUCUAAGGUCCUUUGCCACUUCCUUCAGUCCUCCAUCAGGGCUGCCCCUGUGGCUCAAGUCCCUGGUGACUCAAAGGACCAUGAGAAACCUGGGCAUGGUGACACAUACUUUUAAUCCCAGCAUUCAGGAGUUAGAGACAGGGGGAUAUCAGUGAGUUCAAGGCAACCAGGUCAGCCCAUGUAAAUCCUGUAAGAACAGAAGAGGAAAGAGAGGAGAGACACGUUGUGAGAAUUGUGAGAAAUGUUGCCUUCUGUUUUCUGUUCAGUUUUUUUUUUUUUUUUUUUGGUUCUUUUUUUCGGAGCUGGGGAUCGAACCCAGGGCCUUGCGCUUCCUAGGUAAGCGCUCUACCACUGAGCUAAAUCCCCAGCCCCUUCUGUUCAGUUUUAAACACACGUCCUGUACACAGAGGCCAGAGUUUCUCAGUUUGUACCUGGAGAGUGGGUGUGACUGGAAGACCACACAAGAAGUCAUCAGGCUAUUCCCACUGGGUGGAUCCCUCUCCUUGACCAUACUGGAAGUGAUGGGAUUUCUUGAAAUAUAUACAUUAAAUAUUUUAUUUUGUAUAUGCCAGUUAAUGUAAGGAUGUAGCUCAGUAGUAGAGCAUUUGUCUGACAUAGGUGAGGACCUGGGUUCAUUCGUAGCACCACAAAGGAAGGAAGGAAGGAAGGAAGGAAGGAAGGAAGGAAGGAAGGAAGGAAGGAAGGGAGGGAGGGAGGGAGAAGGGGAAAGAGGGAGGAAAGAAGGAAGGAAGGAAGGAUGGUGGGAGGAAAAGGCAGGUAGGCACAUUCACGUAUAUUCUGUAGGCUGCUGAUUCUUGUCCACACAGGCACUUGGGAAGACCAUGGAGGAGGCUGAGUACCAGUCAUCCUGAUGCACCCUGGGUCCUGUACCUACGGGUUAGCUGUAGGGCUUGGGCAGAAAGUGGAAAGCAGGGGGCAGCCUCGGCUAACAGCCUGUUUAGACAGGCCCCACGGGGAUCUGGCAUCAGCACGCAUUGUGAGGGCUCUGGGGCCAGCUAUUUUCCUGCCUGCCAAAGAGUCUGUUGGUGGCAGCCUUGCAGCAGCACAAACCUUUGCUCCGAUUUGAAACAUGCCUGAUGCACAGUGGGCCUUACCCACUCUCCUGACCCACACGGCCAAGCUCCCUCAACCACUUUUUGGGUCUGUUGCAAGAUACAGAAUUCUGCAGAGGCUGGGAGUGGGGGCGUCCCCCGUGUCCAAGAUGAAGGAACAAGACAGUUCUAGUCGAAGUGCUCUAAAAACACCAUGAAGUCACAGGGAGCUGGGAUUUCCUGGGGCCAGGUCGGCACAGGCGGCCUUGUUCUGAAUCUUUCAUUUUUUUGCCUGGAAGCAACUGUGGUUCCUUGAGUUUCCACGGCUCCGUCUGUAGAGUAGGGAGAUUAAGGUAUUUAACAAGGAUAGUUUGUUGAGCCUUUAGAUUAGAGCAGUGGAAGCUCUUGAAGCCCAUUGAGUAAUGACUGGCACACAGGGAUUAAGCAAAAAAAAAAAAAAAAAAAAAAAGAGCUGCUCCAACCCCACACAGCUUCUCAGGUAGGAGAUGUCCUGCUGGGUUCUAACUUCUUGGAUGCUAAGGAAUAAAAUGCUUUUGUUCCUUCAAAAACAACAACCCUCAACACAAAACAGCAUGUGUCUGUGAUGGCAGCUCUCAGGUGGUGGAGGACGGAGGAUCAGGAAUUCACGGGGCUAUCCUUAGCUACUCAGUGAGCUCAAGGCCAGCCUGGGCUACAUGAGAUCCUGUCUCAGAAAACAGUUAUCAUGCUAGGGAUGUUGUUAGCCCAUGGUUUGUACCAUGGUACAGCGCUUGCUUGCCCAUGCUGGGCCCAUUCCCAGCACGACAACCUCCCACAAAACCCAAACUGCUAUGUAUCAAGGCCUCCCUACCCAGGACCCUGAGGUAAGUACCUUCAUCCUUGAAGUUGAAGAUACCCAGAGAGAUAGAUCUGGUCUUCUAGAGAAGAAGCCACACAGGUCAAUAGGCAAAAUUGGGACUCAACUCCAAAUCUGGCUGAGUCCACGGGCUUAUUUUCUAGAACCAGCCAAGAAGGCUAUGAAUCCGUACCAGUUCCAGCAUUCGCCUCCUUUAUGAGAUACCUGACGUUUUGGGGAGGAAGCUAUGUGCCUUCUAGAUUAAGCAUAACUAUGCUGACAAAAUGAACAGAGUCACCCUCUCCACACACUCUCAACCACAGCCCAGCUGAGGGCAGAAAAUGCAGACCCUGGCCAGACCCCUCUAGUGCACACCUGCCAGGAUGUCUGUGUCCCCUUGGAGGCCUCAUCAGCCCUUUCCCCACACAGCGUUUUGGAGUCUUGAAGAAGGAAUAGUGAGCUAGGCCAAGACUAAAGGUGACCCCACCCUGAGGACCUCCUCAAGAGCCAUGUCAAUCUAUGUCCCUGUGGACCCCGGCUGUAUCACAGGGAGGGUGAUCGAUAGAACCCUGCCCCUCCUGACCAACUCUCCCUUCCCUUCCUCCUCUGCUUCUCCUAGCCAAACAGGAAUGGGGAUGUCAGAACAGGCUGCUGGCCUAGAUAGCAUAAGUAGUGGCCAUGAUAAAAACUCCACUUUCUUACCUACCUUCCUUGAGCCAGCAGAUCUCAGGCAUACAGCCACCCACCUUGAAGAGCCUCAGGUAUCCUCUGAGGGGAACUGAACAAGGGCCUGGUCUUGGCUCUGUAGCCAUUACACUUGAGGAAGAGCCCUGCCCUGCUGAGCUCUUCAGGUCCUGAUGCCACCUCUUGGCAUGGGAGGGGACCAAGUCUAUGUAGUCACCAGGACUCCGUCUGGAAGAAAACUGCCAAGUGGAGGAAUAGGGAGAUCAGAGUGGAGAGGAGAUGGGAGGGCACCCGCCCCCCAAGAACCAGGAGGCAGAACUGCCAAGGGGUCUUCAGGAUUCUCAGGAGCUCUAAAAGCACACGGAGGGGGAAGCUGGAGAAGGGAGAGACCCGGGCUCUGAAAUGACUUGAGCUGUCAGAUAGCUUUUUGGUUUCUGAUGGGUAGAGAUCUUUUUUUUAAAUCUGUUUGUCCCCAUCCCCAAAACACCAUCAGCCCAAGAGCCCCAGAGGAGUAGGGAGAUGAGGGAAUACGGCUGAGGGUUGAUGCUUAGAUGUCAGGGGAGGGAAAAGAGCCGGGACAGGGAGACAGCAUGCUACAAUCACCAACUUCAGACAUCUCCAGAGCUCGCUGAGGAGCAGGAAUUCUGCAGCCCAGUUGACAGGGCGUGAAGGCCCAGAGAUGCCAGAAGCAUCUACACACUAGAGGGGUCUCCAAUUGUCUGCUCAAAGAGGGAGGAGGUGCUUUGGAAGUAGUGGGUUUCUUAUCCAAAGAAGUAUGCGAGAUUAGCAAUGAUAACAGCAAUGGUGACCCCGUGAGGCCUUUCCCACCAGCAGCCUGCAACUCCACAUGCCCACGCAGGCUGCCGUGGGACAGCCAUGGAGCGUAAGUCCCUGGCUGACUGCAUGUCAGAUUCUAGCCAGAUAUGACGUCAAUUCUGCCCUGGCUUUGCGCAGGGCUUCUUGCCCCCCCCCCCCUUCCUUUUAUCCUACUGUGAUCUUUUCAUCCUCCCAAGGGACUCCAGGCCUGACCAGAGAGACCUGGAGCCUAUUUAUGAGAAUAAGGUCCCUGGGGACCAUUCAUCCAAUGGCCUCCCUACUCUGCAGGAGUGAGACCGGGGUGGGGGGUGGGGGGCAGAGUCUCUGAGAGCCUGUUCACACGCUCCAGAGAGUCUGCAUGGGGAUUCCAGCAGGGUCACAAGAAAGCAGCUGACUUAUGACCACGAUGUCUCAGUCUUUCCCUCUUUUGCUCCUGCCUUUUCCCCAGCCAUGGCUGUGACAAGAAGCUAGUGAGGAAAGCAAACAGCUUCCCUGGGCUGAGUCACAAAAGUCAGUAUAGUAAACUGGGAUGCAGGAGCAACUCUAGGUAUUCCAUUACCUUCUAGAACCCAGGGAGGUAGACAUUCCAGGCAAGAGGCCCCAGGGACCAGCCAAGCCUGGGUGAGAGUCCUGGAAUAGCAGAGUCAAGCAUCAGCCAGGCUGACGGACAGGGUAGGGACGCUCACCAGUAGAGCUUCCUGAACUCAGGUUCAAGCUGGGCAGAAGGGGUCCAGGCUUCCCUGAAUAAAAGCAUUGGGGUAGAAGCUUUGGAUGACCUUGAGUGAUAACCCCCUGCCUCAGGCUGGCUAACACCAGAGCAGGACUUUUGAUGUCCUCCUUUUGGUAUCCAUCCUUGUGGCUUCUUGGUAAAAGGUUUCUAUCUCCUCGUGUCAGUGAUAAAGAAGCUGAGAAAAGACUUCCCCACCAUCACACUGUCCAAGUAGAGGCAUCCUUUAGAGCUCCUUUGUCUUCUAGCCAAUGUUGAAGACUAUGUGGCUCCUCAAAUCAAAGGGAGGGACAGAGUAGAGACAGGUAUCCAAGCAGGACACGUCACGGUCCAUUGUCAGCUAAUAGCAACUUACUAUCAAUUCCUGCUGGUCUGUCUUCCAAGUCUCCUUAUAUGGCCUGAGAUGCUCUCCAAGCUAUGGGAGCCACAAAUGGGAGGGGGCCUCCUGCAAAAGAAAUCCCCAAGAUGUGGGACAGCGAAGUCCUUGGUUCUGUUGGUUCUGCCUAGAGCGUCAUAUGAAAUUGAACAAGAGACACCCUCUGGCCUCAGUGUGUUCAGUAGGGUCUGGACCCAAGGAACCAGAAAAGCAGAGGAUUCCCCCUAAGAUCUCCUGCCUCGCUCAUCUGAAAUUUACCCCGGAGGUUUGGCCCAGGAAGUGGGUGGGCCGCCGGAAGAAAACAGCAGCCUACAGAUUCUUCUAUGCCCAAGCUUUGCUUUCCAGCCAAGAAAUUCCCAGAGAGAGAAAAAGCGUGGAAACAAGCUUGGCGUGGUGACUCACGCCUGCAGGAAAUCUGAGGAGGGUUGCUGUGAGCUCAGAGCUAGCCUAGGAUACUUAGUGAGUUCAAGGUGAGCCUGAACCAUGCAAUAUGAAACUGCGUGUGUGCGUGCAUGUAAGGGGCAGUGUGUGAUGGCGCAGAAGCAGAGAGAGAGACACAGAGAGAGAGAGAGAGAGACAGAGACAGAGACAGAGACAGAGACAGAGACAGAGACAGAGAGAGAGUGUGUUCUGGGAAGCUCUUUAAAAUUAUCCCAGUCAGCCGGACAUAAUGGCUUACACCUUAAGUCUUAGCGUUCAGAAGACAGAGAGGCAAGUGGAUCUCUGUGAAUUCGAGGAUGCCCUGGUCUACAUAGUGAGCUCUAUAACACCUUUAGCUACAUAGUGAAAUGCUAUCUCAAAACCAAAUGAUAGGGGUUAGGGAUUUAGCUCAACGGUAGAGCGCUCGUUUAGCAAGCGCAAGGCCCUGGGUUCGGUCCCCAGCUCCGAAAAAAAGAAAAAAGAAAAAAAAAAGCAAAUGAUAAUAAUAAAACAACAAAUAUUAAAUAAAAUUAUCCCAGUGGAGAAAGCUAAGACCAAAAAGGGUCAGCAGAGUAUUCAAGGUCACAAAGCAAGUCAAAAGCCGGAAGAGAAGCAGGGCCUGUCACUCCCAGGUCAGUGUUCUUUCCACUGUCUACAGAGCAAUGGGUACAAAGGCCACCCUGGUAUGACCCUGGGUCAGUGUUCCCCACUGUCUUGAACUCCUCACAAGAAAUCUAAUCUCCUUCCCUACCUGGACUCAGUUUCUUUCUUCCUGGAGACAGGGAACUGUGUGAACAAAAGAUACCCAGGACCCAGUACUAGCAUCUUUCAGAUACCCUCCCUGGGCUUUCCUAGGACCUAAUACCAGCAUCCAGCAGACCAGCACAGCUUUUCCAGGUGGCCCCUUUUGCCCCUACCUUGGCUCUUUCUUUACAGACAGUCGGGGACUCAGACCAGAAAAUCCCACCAAGUUGCAGUCCCACCAGCCCUAUCCCACCCUAGACCCCAUGGUUGGGCUUCAUCCAGAGUUGUAAGGCUCCAGCCCAGCCUGCCUCUGAGAAUCUGGAUUUCUUCUUACCAUAAAAGGGCAAGUGUGCCUUUCUCAACCCUGCUGCCAACCCUGCUGGGAGAAAGGCUGAGUUAUUUUUAGAUGUAGGGUUUACUCCUAACCCAAGAUGGAGUUGUCCCUUUGCACCACAGCCCCCUCCCCAGCUGCUGCUGUCUCCUUCCCUUUACCUUCCUCUGUGGUCAUCAAUAUCCACACACACACACACACACACACACACACACACACGCAUGCCACACUCACACCACAUACCACAUAUACAUAUACACACCCACCACACACAGACACACCACACACACAUACACACACCACAUAUACACCACACACAUGCACACGCACACGUGUGUCUCUUCUCUGUAUCCUUCCCUCCUUCCCAGAUCCUUCCUUUCACAGCCAGCUUCCCUCUUCUUGCCCCUCCCUCAGAUCUUUUUCUGGUUACUGAAGAAAGUGACACAUCUGUACCCCCGCCCCCUCCUGAAACAGUAUUUACAGCAUACAUUCCAAACAUCCGCCAUCUGGCUUCUAGGAAGAGCCAAAAGCUAUUUGAAGAAGGAAGUCAUGAUUAUUCCAUCUUCAAAGCCAGGGAACUUAAGGCCCUCUUCUGCCCCCCCCCUUCCUCCCAGAGGCCCCCUGUGUCGACCAAUGACAUCCUUCAGUCAAUUGAUGAGGUCAGGACCUUAGCUGGAUGUCAGUUGGAUCCCUGACUUCAACCACUUCCUUUGUUUCCCUUGCUUCUUCCCCUCUCCAAGCUUCAGAGUUCUCAUCUGAACGAAGGUGCGAGACCAGAAUGCCCCAAGAUUUCACGUCCUGGGGCAGCUUCACUGAGACUAGUUUUGAGCAGAGCAAUAAGAACAGCGGGGAGUUGGGAGAAUCCCGACACCAUGAAGUCCCCCUCUCUACCACCAUGUCCUGCAUUUGUAGCUCCUGACACUCAUAGAGCAGAAGACCCAUAGGAGUUUCAUCCCUGCCUGCUAAUCUUUGUACCCUAAAUAGUCCAGAAGAAACCAGUGCCUGAUAUCCAGGAAGCUUGAACAUUCCCACGAAGCCCUACAACCCUGGAGACUCCUAUUCUUUACAAAGCAGGCAAGAUGGGCUGGAAGGUGACUCAGUUGGUAAAGUGCUUACCAUAUAAGCCUUAGACAAGGACCUGGAUUCAGAUCUCCUGCACCCUUAUAAAAGCCAGGUCCUCUGACAGCACUUAUAAUCCCAGUGCUAAGGAGAAGACAGAUGGAGCCUUGACCUUGCUAGAUAAUCAAUGUAGCAGAAUCAGCAAGGGUCGGAAAAGAGUCCCUCUUUCAAAAAAUAAGGUAGAGGCUAAGACAGAUGGCCCAGUAGUUAAGGACGCUGGCUGUUCUUGCAGAGGAUGAGGGUUCAAUCCCCAAUACCAUACAGAAGCUUACAACCAUCUGUAAUCUAGUCCCCAGGGAUCCAACACCCUUUUAUGGCCUCUAAAGCACUUACACAGAGAUAUACUUAAAAACAAAUUAAAUUUUAAAAAGUGGUACUGAACAAUACAUGACAGCUAAUAGCAAUCUCUGGUCUUCACACUUACUGGUUCAUGUGGAUGCACAAGCAUAUGCCUACGAACACACACACACACACACACACACACACACACACACACACACACACAGAGGAACAUACGAGCAUAUACACAAACCCAAAAGACAUAGACAGAACAGAAGCAAAAUGUUUAUAAUGUCAAUGGGGUUUUGGGUUGUUUGUUUAAACAAAAAUCCCACAAACAAGAGAGAAAUGCCAUGGGAAAGGGACAGCUACACCCACAACAAGAGAACGUAGCUUCCAGUGUCUGGUGGCUUUGCCAGGGCCCAGAUGAUUUCUGUUCAUACUGAAAAUGCUUGCUCUGUUCUCCAGCUUCUUUCCUCUGAGACAGGCUUGGCAGUCUGGGCUUCAGGGGAGUGAGGACAGUGUGUGCUGCACUGCGUGGGGCCAACCGGGACUCCUAGACUAAUGUGCUGUGUGGCGGUGACCUGGAGUGCUGGGAGCUCGGAGACCCUUGGCUUCUUCACUUGUUAAAUGGCACUAAGAAAGAUCCUAAUGGGACUUGGGCAAACAUUCUUAGCAGGGGGAGGAGCUCCUGACUCUUCUCCCCCACCUUGCUUGGAGAAGCCAAAGGGAGUUGUGCAGACAGCCAUUCCUCUGCCCAGAUUUUCCCCUCCCUGGAAAUCUAGACAUCCAGGUUUAGGACCUUCCUCUCUUCCCCAGGAUCUGAGCCACUGGAGGCAAGACUUGGGGUUCCAAAGGGGCCAGGGUCCUCUUUCUCUUCCUCCCCUCCCCUCCUCCUACCCCCUUGCUGGUUUCCACCUCAGGCUGUAUUCCCAGGGUUUGCUCAAGAGUCCCAGAGCAUCAUCCCCUAGGGAGGAAGCCGGGAGCGUGUGAGGUUGGUGAACUCUACAGGGUGACAAGGGGCUGAGGGCGCUCUGGGAACAGAAGCCAAGGGAAUCUGUGCAGGAGGGAACAUGAGGAGGGGUUAGGCAGUGGUGGUUCCUGCUGUCAGUAUCCACAUUUCUAGAUGCCCCUCUGGCCCUUACCAUCCUAAUGAUAGAAACUACAGACAUUUAUUCAUGGCUUACCACGUGCCUAGAUCUGGGUUUGCUCUCUCCUGCCUCUGACUGUCAGAAGCCAAGUGAAGACAAGGGUCCUUGGACACAGCUGGGAAGUGCCAGAGAUGAGAUUCAAAAGCAGGGCUCAUCCUCUCCUUUAUUCUGUGCAAGCAGAUUGUGGCAAUCAGAUCCUGGAGUCAAGAGCUGGGGAAGGGAGCUGACAAAGGGAGGCUAAGGUAGAAAAUCUCUCCCAAAGCAACAGCUAUGGCUUAUUCCCUGAGAGAAGGUCCUGGCUUUGGUAAUGAUCUUGACCACGUGAACUUUCUUUUAUAGCCAUCCAAACUCAAGGGCUAGCCAGCUGAGCCUGUCUGCCUUGGCUACUGGUCAUUACUUGGAGCAAACUGCAAAGCCUCAUUCACACACACACACACACACACACACACACACACACACACACACACACACACCUCAGCAAUAGUUGCACCAUUCUGGGGUCAUUCUUCAGACUAAAAGCCUUGAGCUACUGCAAGGGGUUAUAGUCUUGGUCACCAAGUUAGCCCCAGGUUGUGGUUUUCCUCAACACAACCCAUUCACAACAUGAGGUGGGACUAUUGGCCUCUAGGCAAUGCCCUUUUGGAUCAGAGCUUUCAUGGACAAGACAACUACAUCAGAAGGGAAGGCACUCCCUCCUGCUCUCAGAGUUGCCCUGACGUCUCCCUUUGAAAACCAGAUGGGCACAGCAGAAAUCAUGGCCAUGUAGGGCCCAAAGGACAGUUCCAGGGGGCCUGCAAACCUCAGCAAGUCAGCUCAAGGCUUCUAAGCUAGGAGUGGCCUAGGCCCGCCCUUGUUCUCUCAAGAGCAGUAUCUGGUGCAGGCCCUUGGAGUUCAGCACGGGGCGAUCCAGCAUACUUCUGACAAGCCUGAUCUUUUGUUCUUUUCAGGAGAGAGUGAUGGCUGGUAGGAUUCCCCCUACACUGGAGAAGAGCCCCAGAAAGGAAUCUUCCUGAGAAGGCGAGAAGGGACAGGAAUGGCUGCCCGGCUCCCAGAACUGAGCUUUCCAACAGUCAGAAGGCAGAGAUCCCCCAGCCUGGAGACAUUUUCUGAAGACACGGGGAAAGGAGAAAAGGCGGGCUACUCCCUGGCAAGCUGCUAAGAGCCAGUACCAAGAACGCCAGGUAAGAUCCGGAAUCUCCCUGGUUCCGCCACCUCUUUAUCAGAAUGGAGAACCAAGCCUGGGAUAUGAAGGGGCCUGGUGAGAAAUAUCUCUGCUCUCUGGAGAUAGAACUUGGAUCUCUAAGCCCCUCUCAUCUCCCAACAGCACUUCAGGGCCAAGGAGCCUUUCUUGGGGUAAAUGAAUGGUUCCUUCAAAUACCUCUUCUCAGUGAAGCUACAUUUGAAGGAGCCAGGGGUCCGGACAAGCUCUGCCUACCAGCCCAGUACAUGUAUGUUCCUGGGCCCAGGAAAAAAAGGCAUACCUCCCCAUCCCAUUGUUCCUCCCCACCAUCCCAGUCCCCACCCCCACCCCACCCCUUCCAGGAGGCCUUGUGAGCUCCCCAAGGGGUGGGGGGAAGGAACCUCCCUGACCACGAGCUCUUGGCAGUCUUUCCACAGGCUCUCUGGAGUUCCGAUCAGUCUGCCCCCAUGCCCUCCUUGGUGCUUCCCUUCCCCCUCAGCCUUCUGUGCCCUACAAGGGCAAGGGCAGUAUUGGGGCUGCUUUAGCCAGGAGUGCAGAGACAUACUCCCUAAGUACACAGAGACGGUGCUGGGUCUGCUGAACGAGCCGUCCCAUACCCAGAGGACUAAGAAACUAAGAUGUCAGGCAUGGAGUUUAAGGUGAGGGACCAGGCCCCGCUGCUCUGCACAGUACCUUACACUCCAACCCCGGGGAAAAUUCUAUUUCCUUGGAUCCUUAGAGACCUAUGGGGAUCUGCGCAGUUAAAAGUUCACCAGCUUGAUUAUUUGAAAAUCAUAGGGACAGAACUAGACAGUCUUUAUCCAGGGAUGGGACGAGGAAGAUGUGGCAAAGACCUUUUGUGGCUGAACACCUACCUCUCCAUUCUGUCUGCCUAUGUACUUCUCCUUAAGAAAGAAGGACCACCUUCUGUCUAGUUCCUGUGCCCCGCCGAGAAGAUGUAAAAUCCUGGCUACACUCUCCUUUACCCCAAGGUGGGAUGGCAGUAGUGGGACGGCAGUAGCCCUCAUUCCCCCUUUCUGAAUCGAUGCCUGCAAAUCUAGAACGCCUCACCAUCCUGGUCCUUCAUCCAAGGUGAUCAUCUCUAGCCACACAGGCUGACCAGAAGGUAGAACAGGCUCUGGUAUCCUGCCCCAAACCUAGUCAUUGGAUGUCCCCUUUUUUUGUUUUCGUAUUUAUUUAUUUAUUUAUUUAUUUAUUUAUUUAUUUAUUUAUUUAUUUUGGUUCUUUUUUUCGGAGCUGGGGACCGAACCCAGGGCCUUGUGCUUCCUAGGCAAGCGCUCUACCACUGAGCUAAAUCCCCAGCCCCACUGUUUUCUUUUUUAAAAAAAAAUUAUUAUUUAUUUAUUAUAAGUACACUGUAGCUGUCUUCAGACACACCAGAAGAGGGCAUCAGAUCUCAGUACAGAUGAUUGUGAGCCACUAUGUGGUUGCUGGGAUUCGAACUCAGGGCCUCUGGAAGAGCAGUCAGUGUUCUUAACCGCUGAGCCAUCUCUCCAGCCGUGAUGUCCUGAUUUUUUACUUUUGUCUGUGAUUUUAUUGUAAAGAGUAAGGUGAGUCCUUUCAUGUCCCUAAGCUGCCAUACUGUUAUAAAUGGAAAACUGACGCCAUCCAGAGUUGUAAACCCCAAUAUGAAGACGAAGCAUCAGAACCACAUUGUCGCUUGCUUCUGUGGCUUGUUAGGCGCCGACCUGAACCCCCUUCCUGAAGUAAGCAGGCCUCAGGAAGAAGUCAGAGGCAAAACAACCAGGCUUUCUUCUCCUUACACGGGACCCCAGGUCAACAGGCACUGUGGCUCAUGCCUAUAAUCCCAGAAUUCCAGAAGUAGAAACGGGGUGAGUCGGCAGUUCUACACACUGAAUGAGUUUGGGGCUAGCCUGGUCUACAUGUGUCUCUGUUUCUAAAAAGAAAGAAGGAAAAAAAAGAGAGAGAGAGACAUAAGGGGGAGGGAGGGGAGGGCCUACAUAGAGGCAGGGGAUGACCCAAAUGGUGUGUCACCAAAUGACUCCCAGAGAUUACCCAUCCCUCUGCUGCCCCAGAAAGCAAAAGCAGUGUAGGCAGAAGAGCUUUGAGUUCAGUUGACCCUGGGGAAGGCUCCUAGCAACCCAGCUAUGCUGUGUCCACCACUCCCAGCUACUUACUGAAAUGUCCCUUGGUCAGCUUCAGUGCCACCUCUCCCAGGGUCCAUGGGAGCCAUGGGGAAUGUCAUGGAGAAGACCAGACAUUCUGACUCCAAGAGAGUCCUGUGUUCAGAUCUCCUGGUAAGAGGGCUGUGGAAAGUUUCUGAGGAUUCCAGACAGAGGGGAGUUGCUUAUUGGCUGGGGAUGCCUGAGGGCAGAAGUUUCCUGGUCUUAGCAACAAACCAGAGAAGCUUUUCCCACUGCCCCUGCACUUCACCCCCAACUUAGGGCUGCUGCUAGAUUCUUCUCAGGAGGCCGAGGAGCUGUGGGGUUUCUAAAAAUGGAGGUAAGCAUAUUUUUAUUCUGUUCUCUCCCAGACCUGAGAAAAGGCUGCCUACCCUGUUCAGAAAACCCUGAGAGUACACAUACAUCAUCCAGCAUCAAGGCCACCACAGUCACCAUGAAGCAGAGGUCUUCUAGGGACCCUGGGAUCUUAGCAAGAGCUGGGUGAGUGGGUGGUUUGGGGUGGGAGUGCUCUGCUCACACAAGCCAUGGCCACAGGAGAAAAGGAAUCAUUCACGUGGUUACUCAGUCGCCACUGUCUGUGCGCAUGUGCAAAGUCAUCGGCAGGUUCUAGGGCCCCCAAAUUAUAAUAUAUGGACCCUGGCCUCAGGGAAAUGGAGAGGUAAGCUAGGGUGACCCAGAGAUGAACCACUCCAAAGCCACAGAGGGUGAUGUGGGUUGCGAUUGAUCUACUUAAGCAGUGUUCAACAUGGCCUUGAUUCGGGGGCAGAGGAAAGCCAGCAGACUCCCUUUCCUGAAGGGAAAGUGAAGGAAAGUGCUCCCAGAUGAAAACAGUACCCCAAGAGCUAGGAAGAAACAGAGUUCAAAGGUUGGGAGCGCCCAUGAAGGAGAUGUCCUUGGAUCUAAAGAAGUAAGGGGUGGUUUCUCAGUAGCUGUCAUUUGUCCAGACUGCAUACAGAGACGGAUGGGGCAAAUACGGGAACCACAAGUUGAGCAGGCACAGAGAGGCUAUCUGCAAGGCCCUGGGUUCCAUCUUUAGCACUGAAAAAAAAAAUUAACUGCACACUUCAGAUGGGUAGGGUCCAUCUCAAGAAAGCUAACUUUAAAAGACAAAGGACACGAAGAUGGACGUUUCCUUCCCAGAGGUCUCCAGGGCGUGUCCAGACCAGUAUAGGAGGCAGACCACUGCGCAUGCUCAUUCUCCUGCCCAGGAAGAAAGCCGUGGCCUGAGCGCGGAGCGCCUGUCUCCCAGCCUGAGGUGCAGUGCUGCAUCUCUGGUCAGUUGGGAGUCUGAGAUGAAGCACUGUAGCUCAGGAAGGGAGAAGAUGUUCUGCAGCCGUCGCCGGGACAUGGUAAGUGUUGGUGAGGGGUAGCGGGCCCGAUCGGUUGUCCCUAGAGUCCGCUGCAGCAACUUGUGGUGAUGUUCCUUGACUCAGGCUGUACCAGGGCUGAGCACUCUUAUGCCAUCCGUAACAGUAAACGCUGGUUCAUUCAAUGGCCGCCAGCACCAACACACUGCCUUUACUUCCUCAGCCCAGAGAAGACACUGCUAACAAACAAACAAACAAACAAACCGCGGCAUCUAUCCAUUCUGAGAGGGUUCCAACACGCCCUCGGAAUCCUUCUCAACACUGAAUAUCUACUAUAAAUGGUUCUGCGUUGAAACCCCUUCAUCUCUGUGGAUCAGACAGUCCCAAACAACCCUUAGUCCUAGAGGUAGAGGCGAACGGUCCUGGCAACCCAACAGAAGUGCCACACAUUAGGCUUGGAGUCACUGUCCUCACUCUUUGAGCUCUAACCCUGGUUGGUGCUGUUGCCUCAACCAGUCUGGCAUCUCGCAAAUGUCUGCCCUGUCCCAGAGGCUUCAGAGAGGCAAGGGGCAACAGAGGGGAGCCACUGGGGUCUACCCAUUUGUAUUUAACCUCCCUAGCCUGCUCAGAGGAAGCUGACCCACUUCAUAGAGCAGAGUAUGAAAAUAGAACGCACCCCACGCGGUCUACAGCUGGUUACUCUCAGCUGUAGUGACAUCAGAACCACACACUUCUACAUGUCCACCUGCAGGCCAGAAGAGGGCAUCAGAUCCCUUUAUAAAUGGUCCUGAGCCAGGUGGCUGCUGGGAAUUGAACUCAGGACCUCUGGAAGCGCAGCCAGCACUCUUAAUCGCUGAGCCAUCUGUCCAGCCCCUGACCAUACAUAUUUCUAAGAGUCCUGUGGCCUCACUUCCUUCAUGCUGGCUCCUCGCCCACCCAGUAGGUCCUAUUUGAUGCCACCUCACAAUCGAGCAAAGAUCAGAGUCUAAGUGACCUGCUGGAGGACAACAGUGAGAAAGUCGAUAGAGCCUGGGAACGGAUUUCAUGACCACUGGCCAGAGUUCUCAUGGCCCCAUGGCAAGGGGGAGGGGGCAGGGAGGACUGGUCCCAAAUGCUUCCUGACCUCAGGGGAGGUACUUUCCAAGCCACUCAGAGCUCUGGUUGCUCUCCCCAGAGUAGAGAGCUGCAUCCUGAGAAGUGAGGUGCAUAUAGCACCCCACACUGGCUGCCAGAGCUGGCGCCGGAUGCAGGGAAAACUGCUCGUCCCUAGGGGUGGGCGUGGCACUGCUGAAGGCAUCUCUCUCCCACCUUGUCCUCACGGUCCAGUUUUCCCAGGAAUCCCUUGGAUGCUAAGAUGGGGAUUCCUGGAAAUACUGUUCUUGAGGUCAUGGCUUAACAGCUGGAUCUGCCUCCUUCCCACCCUGACAUUUCCUCCCAGGGAGAAGGGAGGAGGAGGAGGUGCAUCGGAGGGAGGUAAGCGGUCUUGGGACCUCUUCUGACCUUUGUGUUGCUUUUUUCCCACUGCGUCCAUAUUUCCUAACAUCCCGGGGAGGUUGGAUGUGGGAACCUCAGAACUGCUUCACUCUUGAGAAACUUGUCUCGAGUCACAGUGGUUGAACCAGACUCCGAGACAGCCUUCCCUCCACUCUGACCCUCCACAUUCCUUCCCACAGGCCCAUAUCCACAUUAUUAAGAAAGUAAUACACAAAUUUAUUUUCAAGGUUUAUUAAAUCAGUUAGGUAAACUAAGAAACAGUUCGUCUCCAUUGAAUUUGGAGGGCAGCCACAGGAAAAUGAGGUUUCAAGGUAGAAAAUAUGCUAUUUGGAGCGCCCCUGGUGGUGUUUCUUCCCACUGCAGGGACACUCGUGACCCCUGUACACAACCAGGGCUUAAUUAACCCUUAUUCAUCUCUCGCCAGAGAUGUGUCCAUGUCUUAGAGUUGGCUUUUCCUUAGGCAGACCACCUAGAAAGCAAAAGGUAGAACCAGGAUUGAUUUUGAGCCUGGAAUUGAAUGUCUGAGUCAAAAGAAAAAGUGGCUCCCCCCACCUCCCGCCCCAACUCUUGGGAGUUCUGUUUUUUUCUCAGUAAGUCUUUGCUCACUGUGCUAAAAAAUAAAUAAAUAGAUAAAAAUUAAAAAUAAAGCACACACCUUUAUUUGCAACACUUGGGAGGCAGAGGCAGGAGUGGAAGUCAAAACCCUUGAUGAAAUCCAGCUAUAAAAUAGGACUUGGGCUGGAAGGAUGAGAUGGGGCUUACCAGCAAAGGCACUUGACACCAAUCUAAGGGCUUGAGUAGAAGUCCCCAAAGCCACUGAGCUCCCGAAACUUGUCCUCUGACCUCCAAAUGGGUCGUAUGCCGUGUGCAGCAAACGCGCUCACACACACAAUAGAAAGAAAUAAAUGUGAAGGAAGUUCUAGAACUUCGGUGCUGGGGACACGGCUCAGUGUGUAAAGCGCUGAUUUCACAUGCCCAGCGCCUAUGUGAGGUCACACUUACAAUCCUAAGGCUGGUGGGGAGAAAGACAAGAGGACCCCUGGAGACCUGCAGCCAGCCAGGCUAGCCAGGGUUGGUUUACCAAGACUCUGCCUCAUAGAGUAGACAAUGACAGAAAACAGUGACUGUGUGCACACACACAUGCACUCAUGCACACACCCAUGUCCCUGAGAACCACCCUUAAACUGUCCCUAGUCCGGUGGAGGUAGCAAGUGUCAUAGCCCCACAACCCUCGUUUCCAGUGUGCCCUGGAGUCUCCAGAGACCAGGCAGUCCCCAGGGGCUACUAUGCUCCCAGCAAGCAUCCAGAAGACAUUUCUGAAGAGAGACCCCUCCCCCCUCCCGCUCACAUUCGGAGACCGUUGCUGACUUACUCGGGAUGGCAGACUUGCCGAUGACAGCAUCACCACCCUCCACUCUCGGGCUCUUGACACUCUGGGCAAUCCCAGUUCUCACUGCAGACCCAGUGAGGUAGCAGGCAAGCAGCCCAAGGCUGAGAGAGCUUAAGACACUUACCUUAGGCCACACUCAGUAAUUCCCCAAUCCAACAGUGCUUACGAUUUCCACCAUCCUCCCGAGUCCCACCCAACAAGGCUCCCGCCAACCCCACCCGCACAGUGGCUUUCCCAUGGGGGGAAGAAUAGUGAGCCUUCCUCUCUAUGUUUUGUGACAAUAAUAAAGCACUGGACCUUUGAUUUGUGUCAUCUUUCUUCCUGGGAGUAUAGGGGCAAGAAAGAACUUUCCAGUACUCACAGCCAUAACCUCCAAGAGCCUCUGCUUAACAGACAUUUCCACAGACCAGUACAGGGACAGUAGGGAGGAGCCACCUCUGAGCUGCCCAUCCCACUCCUGCUGCCUCAGGAUGCUUCCAGGCCACGACUCAAAGUACUUCAGGGAAGAGGUCUGUGGGAGACGGGGACCAUUAAAGUUAAGCAAGGGCCACAGAGGGGGAUCUAAUACAUGGUCACCCCUUUCCUUCUGUUCCAGAGAACACAGUCUGAAACCAUAUGUUCCCACAUCACACAUGUGUGCUAUUCUGAGUUACCUCAGGCCAUCGCCCAGCUCUGCAGUGACAUGGCUUCAGUGGUACUCCAAGCCACAAAACCAACACAGGAUGAUUUUUUUUUUUUGAGAUAGGGUCUCACCCAUUCAGCCCAGGCUGCAUGAUCCCCAAAACUACUGUAUUUAGACAAAAUGGACCCUCUUACGUAGUCAUUGAACUUGUUUCGCCUCAGCCUCCGAGGGCCCUGGGUUGGACUGCAGAGAGGGCUCAGUGGUUAAGACCACUUGAUGUCCUUCUAGAGGGCCUGGGUUCAGUUCCUAGAACCCAUGUUGAGAGGUUUGCAACUACUUGUAACUCCAAGGAUGUGGCUUCAGGAGAUCCUACACUCUCUACUGGCUUCGUCGGGCACCUGAACACAAAUAUACACAUAAAUAAAGUAUGACUAAACCCAAGGGCUGAGGUACAUACCCACCACACUAGAUGCCGGGACUUAAAGCAGUCACAUGGCCAGUCAGCGGUGGCAUAUGCCUUUAAUGCCAGUACUCUGGAGGCAGAGGCAGGAGGAAUUCUGUGAGUUUGAGGCCAGCCUCGUUUACAUAGUGACGAACAGAAAGCCUGUCUUGGAAAAAACCCAACCCAAUCGGAAACAGUCACAUGCCUCACAUGACCUCCCAAGCUACUGUAUUUAGACGAAACAAGCCCUCUUACAUGGCCAUCCCCAGGAGCCAAGGGCCACCUACACCUCACUGCCCCAGAACAAGCCCUGAAGAGGGGUCCGAGGCUCCAGAAUCAUCCCAGUCACCUGAGUGCCAAACAGGGAGUGGGAGAGAUGGGCCAAGGGUGCCUCUGCAACUGUUGUGCUUUUCAGCUUCAAAACAGUAGCCAGCAGGAUGCCACAGCCUUCUCAAGGACCACAGGCUUUGUCUUUGCUGUCCCUCCUUCUAGAGCUUCCAUUUGACAUCCUAGUGGAGCUGAUACCAACCAGCUAGCUGCCAGCAGGUCACAGUCACAGGGUCCCCAAGGAGAGGGGUGCACAAGAACGGGAAGGGCUGGAGAGGUGGCUCAGCGGUUAAGAGCGCUGACUGCUCUUCCAGAUGGUCCUGAGUUCAAUUCCCAGCAACCACAUGGUGGCUCACGACCAUCUCUAAUGGGAUCCUAUGCCCUCUUCUGGUGUGUCUGAAGAGAGCAACAGUGCACUCACAUUAAACAAACAAAC